AGAAGGAAUAACCAGGGCACAGUUGCAAUCAACUCAAAGCAAAACUAAUGCCCAACAGUAUUAAACUCACUGUCAGACUUCAGAAGAUCUUGGACCUCAGGAUCAUCUAGGCUCAAAAGGGCUUACCACAGCACACAUAGCAUAUCACAUAGGUUAGGCUGGCUCCACACCAUUGCUACCGCUUUUCUUGGUCAUACAUAGUAUAGGUAUUUCCGUAAUGCUGGGGUCUCUACAAAUAGGCUACACCUUCACCAAUAACUCUCCUGAGCUUUCUUCAGGGACUCUAACCUUGCCAUAUGGUGCCAAGCCUCUUUGAAGGUAAUUUACGUUGUGUCUUAAAUUAAUAAUCUGUGGUUCUGGUUAACUGGAGUUGAAGAAUUAAAAGUCUAUAACCACCAAAGUAGAACCCUUUACAUUGCUGGACCAAUCAAAAUCUUCUAAAAACAGUUCUCUUGGGUUCAGCACACAGAAACUGCAUCCAGAGAGAGCCAAGGCUGUAUCUCAUAUUGGCAGCUGAACUUGUAAUUCCAGAGUCUCCCAAGUGGUAUUGGUUUUGAAGUCAUGAAGAGGUCAUGGAAAACACUUGAGACUUAGCACAGUGAGAGGUCAAGACAGGUUAUUGGUGAAGAUACACCAUCAGCAUCAGUGUCAAGCCUCAACUUAUCUCUGUCAUUUCAAUACUCUACCCUGGUAUUAAUUCCUGUCUUAACUGGAGUUUCUGUGCCUGUGACAACACAAGACCGAAAGCAAAUUUGUGAAGAGAAGGGUUUAUUUAACUUAAACUUCCAGGUAGCAGUCCACCACUGAAGAUAGCUAGGGCAGGAACUUAGAACAGGACAGGCAUACAGAUCAGGAGCUGAUAAAGAGGUUAUGGAAGAGCACAGCUUAUUUACUUGCUUCCCCUGGGAUGCUUAGCAUGACUUUUUAUAUGGUGUUUUGAAUGAGAAUCAGUUACAUAGGCUCAUAUGAUUAAUUAUUUGGUCCCCAGUUGGUGGAACUGUCUAGGAAGGUUUGGGAGGUAUGAUCUUAUUGGGAGAGGUUUUUUCAUUGUGGGCAUACAUUAAAAUUUCAAAAAUAUCAAGCAGUUCCCAAAACAUUCUCUGUCGCCUAUUAGUAGAUCAAGAUGUGAUUUCUCAGCUGUUCCUGCCACCAUGCCUUAGGUCUGCCAUCAUGGACUGUAACCCAGAGAAACUUUAAGCCAAAUUAAACACUUUUUUUAAAUUGCUGUGGUCACAAUCUUUUCUUCCUGUAAUAGAAAAGAACACAAAAUACAAAUACAUCUCUGCCCUCAGAAACAUCCCACUCACAAUGGGUUGAAACUUCUUUUAUCAGUCACUAAUUAAGAAAAUGCUCCAUAGAGUAAAUCUACAGAUGCAAAUCUUAUGGGUGCAUUUUGUCAAUUGAGAUCUCUUUUUACAAAUGACUCAAGCUUUUGUCAAGUUGACUAGCCAGGACAGCACUAUAUUAGUUCUUUUGCUUUUGUUCUUUAUGACAUUAGUUACCAUUUUAGAAAUUAGAAUAUACCUUUCUACCUUACUUUAUUGUCUUUGUUGAAAUACCACUUACAAAGUUCAUUCUUUAUGGUUUAAUUGAAACAUGUCUUUGUUUAAAUCCUACAAAUUAUAUUAUUCUGUUUAGUGGGCUCAUAAAAUUCAACAUUAUGUAUCCAUAGUAUAUAUUGUUUGAUAAUUUGUCUGUUCUAUGAAAAUAUGGACACCUUUGUGUUGUUCAAGGUAUUGAUAUCACUGCAUCUUCAAAAUGCUAUGAAAAUGUGGUUACUGAGGACAUCUAAACAGCUGAGAAUUGUCCCUCUUUCUCAUCUAAUUUGGUGCCUGCAGUGGUAAGAAUGUGAAUCUCUGGAAUAUUAAGUAUAAACAAAUUAUAAGCAAAUGAAAAAUUAAAGAGAUACUGAAAAUGAUGAACUUAA